CUCCCGCCGAGAGCCGGGCCGGGACCCGCCUCCGCGCCCGGGGGCGAGGCGAGGCGAGGCGGGGCCGGGCCCGGGGCGGGCGGCGGCGCAGUGCCCGGCCGGGACGAGCGGGGCUCGGUGCGCUGUGCGCGCUCUGCGAGGGGACGCGGGCGAGGUCAUCAGUGAGAAGCAGAGAAAUGGCUAAACUGACCCAGUUAAUUGACAAUGAAGUCUUCCGGGCUUAUGCUACUUAUACAACUAUUGUUCUUCUAAAAAUGAUGUUAAUGAGUCUUAUAACAGCAUACUUCAGAAUCACAAGGAAGGCAUUUGUCAACCCAGAAGAUACAGCAUCAUUUGGAAAAGGCGAGAGUGCUAAAAAAUAUCUGCGGACUGAUCCAGAUGUCGAACGUAUUCCAUUUCCUAGCUCGGUAUGUAUGGGAGACUAUAUAUAGAGAUCUGACACCCAUCUCUAUUUGGCUGUUGAAUCUUGGCAACUGAGUCCAUUAACCCCAUAGCAUCAUGCACUUCUGGAGUCUACUUGAGAGGUGUGUGACAUUAGAGGCAGCAGAGCUUACAGGGGCACAAAUCAGGAAUAAAGUCAAUGAAGUCUGUGGAAUUAAACUGGCUCAUGCACUGAAAGAUUCAAGGCGGCAACUGAAAUACUACAAUUCAAAAUGGUGCCACUGAACAUCAAAGGAACUGUCCUUUACGUGUCUUGAGGUCUUAUUCUCAUGUAGAAAGUGAGCGAUGUCUCCAGAAAAAUCACCUACCUCCUGCCUGGCAUAUCACCAUCCACAGACUUGCUGCCAGCAUAGAUGUGAUGCCUCUUGGACAAACUUCAUGUUGCACCAAAACAGAGAGUUUACAGUAGAAGACAGAUAAUAAGAUCAAGUCCUGAAACUUGUAUGUGGGCUUAUGUAAGCUGUUUAAAGAAAUAUGAUAAAACUUCUAUUUUAAAAAGUGAACUGUUUUCCUUGAAAAUAUUAGAUCUCUCAUUGUGAAUUAAGUGCUUUUGAAAUGCUGGAUUGAUAACUCUGGAGAUCAAAGUCUUACACCUGGCUAAGCUACUUACAUGUCCCCGUGGCCUUGGAGCACCCCACAGUCUAGCCCUCAGGGGUGGGGAAGUGUUCUGAUUCCUUUGCUGCUGUUAAAGGAAUUGAGGUGCAAAAAGACAAAGCGAUAUAUUUAAGCUCACAUUAGAAGUCUGUGCUGAAGUAGGGAUUUCAGACCAGGCAUCUGAUCUCCUUAGGUAGCAAUCCAAAUGGGAACUGUCACCUCUCUCCUACAGAAAAAGCAAUGACAGCCAGAAAGCCUCUGAUCAAAAAGCACAGGAGUUUUCCCUGUUCAAUCAAGUCCCUGGCCCUUCAGGAGAAAAACAAUGAAAAAACAGAAUGAAGAGGGAAUAGUUAGAGGUGGCUGACACCAGUGUGUUAGCAACUGGACUGUGGUCUAAGCAGCUUGUUAUAGAAUAGUAAAUAAUGAAACUUGGCUUAAUUUUUUUGUUAUUCUUUGCCAUGUAGUCUUUGCCAAACUAUUACUUGUUUUAGAGUGUAUUUCUAAUAGAAUUUGAAAUAGCUUGAAAAUUAGGAGAAAAUUUCUGCUGCAUCACUGUUCUCACAGAUUAUGAUGGGAAUGGUUUAGAGCAAAAUACGCCAAUUGAAUAGAAACAUUAUUCCUCCUGGAAUUACCAUUUUCCCUUUUCCUCCUGCCUCCCUCUCCAGGCUCCUCAGCAACACAUAGAUGGGGUUUCUGGGCUUCUUCCCUCUUUGGUGACUUACUGGACAAGGAAUUGAGAAGCCAAGAUUUCCCAGAUGUCUAUGUUCAAUGCUUCCUCUUUUUUAACUCCUGUAGAAUCAUGCAGAAUAUACUAGGAGGAAUCCAGAUUCAGAAUCUGUGUGACAAAUCAAAGAUUUCUGCACAAUACAAAUUGUAGUUCUUUGAUCUGAAGUACUGAUACUGCUUUGUUCUUUUACAUCAGUAGGAAAUUCAGCCCAUUUUCCCCUAUUCUGUGCAUACUCCUUAACCCCCCCAAUAAUAACUAAUAUUUUAAAAAUCAAGCAUAAUUAAUCUAUCAUAUUUAUAGCCAUGUAAAUUAAAGAGGUCUCAACUAAUAAUGUGAAUCACAUAAUUUAAAAUAAAUAAAUAAAAGUCGUAUAGGCAGAAAAGCAGCCAACCAUAUGGUUUCACCAUAUGCUGAAGCAUACUUACUGUCCCUUAUAUCCUGUAUUCCCUGUGAAAACUAUGUAUACAUAUUCACUGAUAAAAAAAAAAAAACAAAACCCAAAAAACCCUACUUGAAAGAACUUCAAAGCUACAAGAUCAAGUGCUCUGUAUUUGGACUCUGUGAAAAUUCAUGCAGUCAUAAUUUGUCUAAUAGAUGGAUAUUGCAAAGAUAUGUUUUUUAUGGGCUUGAUCACAACAGUUUUUGCCUGGAAGCUCUCCCUCAUUCACUGGAGGUGAUGUAUGGUUGUCACUGAAUGAGUAUGAAUAUUCACAUGAAGGCAUUGAUCCAUAUCCUAAAGACAGGUGUCACACACCAGCUCCUCUUUUAUUCAAUGGGGAGGUAGUUCUGGAUUGCUUAGUGUCUGUACCUGAUACCCUUUAGAUGAGUUGAGGGCUAUGUGUAUUUCCAAGAGAUACAUCAGUUACUAUCAUGGCUUUAAGGUCUGGACUCAACUUUUGCUGCAUUAUUGAUGGAAAGGAAACAGAGGUACCAAGCAGUGUUCACCUACCAGUAGGAUUCACUGAAAAAAUUCAAAACAUUAUUUCAUUGAAAAACAGAUUUUUAUUGAAAAUAUUAAUCACAUUUCUUUUCACUGUAGUGAAAAAUAUUCUUUCAAUUCAAUUUUCCACUAGGAAGCCUUGAAGUAAGCUUUUCAUCCCAGCUGUGGUAAAAGUUCUCUGCCUUUGCACAACUACCAUAUAGUUUUUAGGAUGAACCACUGUAUGCUGACCUCUUCAGCUAGAGGGGAUCUUCAUAAUGCACUGCAUUAUUUUUUGUCUAUACUUAAAUAAUCUGGGUUGUCCUUUGUUUUGAGACUUUUUCCCAUUCUGAGAGAAAAAUAUGUUCUGGAAUAGCAAAAUACUGUAGAGGAUGGUAAAUCCAUUUUCAAUUAGCUCUGUUUAGAAGGGUGUCCGUAAGGCCCCAUAGGAAUCUUAGUCUUCUGAAGGAUUUUGUUUGACUAUUUUGUUAGACUACUCUGGAGUCCCUGCCAGGUUAUAUAUAGUAGCAGUCUUGAUACUGGCAGCACAAAAGUCAGUGCAAGCUCUUUGCUGGAGCCCACCCAACCACAGGGUGCUGCCGCUGGUACUGAAGCUUUGGCAUGUCUGCUGCAGUGGUCGGUGCUCUGAGUGGCGUGGCUGAGGCCAGUAGAUGGGCUGAGUCCCUAACCCAGCAAAAGCUGCGAGCUGCCACCUCUCCUGGAGGCAAAAGCUUGGGAGGUCACCAAACUUUACCCUCCCUUGUGAUCUCAAUGCUGGUAAUGACUGCAGUCCACGUAUGUUUUAUUUCUAUAACCUUUCCAUCAGAGAAGUGAUCCUGAUCCUCUAUUUCUCAUACAUUUACCUGUUUCCUUAUCAUAAUUCACUGAGGCAGGGCUCAGAAAGUCUGUGUGGGUCAGUUAAAAAGUAGAUACUGCUCAUCAUUGAAAAAAAUGAAAAGAGUGGGAAGGAGCAGAAAUUUGUUGCGUCUUAAAAUAAACAUAAUGGAAUUGGAAUUUGAACAGAUGAAUUAUGUUUUUAUGUUCUUAUCUUCUGUGUAUCCAUAACAUUCCCAGGAGGCUUCACAUCAACAUUUUGAAAUCUUUUUGAUAAAUACAUUCACUUUCUUAUAAAAAUUGA